GACGAACGCUGGCGGCGUGCCUAAUACAUGCAAGUUGAGCGCUGAAGGUUGGUACUUGUACCAACUGGAUGAGCAGCGAACGGGUGACUAACGCGUGGGGAAUCUGCCUUUGAGCGGGGGACAACAUUUGGAAACGAAUGCUAAUACCGCAUAAAAACUUUAAACACAAGUUUUAAGUUUGAAAGAUGCAAUUGCAUCACUCAAAGAUGAUCCCGCGUUGUAUUAGCUAGUUGGUGAGGUAAAGGCUCACCAAGGCGAUGAUACAUAGCCGACCUGAGAGGGUGAUCGGCCACAUUGGGACUGAGACACGGCCCAAACUCCUACGGGAGGCAGCAGUAGGGAAUCUUCGGCAAUGGACGAAAGUCUGACCGAGCAACGCCGCGUGAGUGAAGAAGGUUUUCGGAUCGUAAAACUCUGUUGGUAGAGAAGAACGUUGGUGAGAGUGGAAAGCUCAUCAAGUGACGGUAACUACCCAGAAAGGGACGGCUAACUACGUG
rnacentral:rRNA from 1 species